rnacentral:rRNA from 1 species
UACGUAGGGUGCAAGCGUUGUCCGGAUUCAUUGGGCGUAAAGAGCUCGUAGGCGGCUGCUCAAGUCGAAUGUGAAAACUCGAGGCUCAACCUCGAGCCUGCAUUCGAUACUGGGCGGCUAGAGUCUGGUAGGGGGAUCUGGAAUUCCUGGUGUAGCGGUGGAAUGCGCAGAUAUCAGGAGGAACACCGAUGGCGAAGGCAGUUCUCUGGGCCGUAACUGACGCUGAGGAGCGAAAGCGUGGGGAGCGAACAGG